rnacentral:tRNA from 2 species
GGAGAGGUGGCAGAGUGGUCGAAUGCGGCGGUCUCGAAAACCGCUAUACCCGCAAGGGUAUCGGGGGUUCAAAUCCCUCCCUCUCCGCCA